AUUCCAGUGUAUCUCCCUACCUCAUAUUCACAGGCUCAGCUCUUACUCAUACUCUCUUUUAAUCAGGCAAAAUUCUUCUUCCACAUUGAGUACUGCAAAGCACAGCUCUGGGAGCACAGCAAGACAGGCCGCUUGCUCUCAGUUCAGGUGUCCCAACUUAAGCCUAGAUGAAAACUCACACAAAAGAAGUAGGAAGACUGCAAACUCCUUUAAAAGAAACAAGCCUGGAACCAUGGACCCAGCCCCAGUCCUCAGUUGCCAUGAAAAUAUUACCUUUUGGGAGCCUGUCAACACAAUAUCUUUAUGGAUGGAUUUGGACCAGCAAUCAGAUAUUUCACAGUUUUCAAUAGGGAAACCCGGACUGAAAAAUGGUUUGCUGAAGUUUUUCCAACCAGCUGUACUCAGUACUCAUCAGUUCCCAUUGUGGAUAAUGAAACCUGCUAAUUAUUGAGCUCUUGACAAAGUUGAAACCUCACUGAGAUGCCUAAAUGGAAGUCUGUUCUUCUGAAAAAGCUGUUACCAAUUGUGGGUACUAUAACCGCUCCAGAUAUCUGGCCCUAGAUGGCCUUUCAAAUCUGUGACCAUAAUAAAGAACAAAAUCAAAAUCUCUGGACCCA
rnacentral:lncRNA from 1 species